GAGUUUGAUCGUGGCUCAGAGCGAACGCUGGCGGCAGGCUUAACACAUGCAAGUCGAGCGGGCGUAGCAAUACGUCAGCGGCAGACGGGUGAGUAACACGUGGGAACGUACCUUUUGGUUCGGAACAACUGAGGGAAACUUCAGCUAAUACCGGAUAAGCCCUAACGGGGAAGAUUUAUCGCCGAAAGAUCGGCCCGCGUCUGAUUAGCUAGUUGGUGAGGUAAUGGCUCACCAAGGCGACGAUCAGUAGCUGGUCUGAGAGGAUGAUCAGCCACACUGGGACUGAGACACGGCCCAGACUCCUACGGGAGGCAGCAGUGGGGAAUAUUGGACAAUGGGGCAACCCUGAUCCAGCCAUGCCGCGUGAGUGAUGAAGGCCCUAGGGUUGUAAAGCUCUUUGUGCGGGAAGAUAAUGACGGUACCGCAAGAAUAAGCCCCGACUAACUUCGUGCCAGCG
rnacentral:rRNA from 1 species